AGAAAUGGAUGCCCCAUGCUUGGAGAC
rnacentral:piRNA from 1 species